rnacentral:rRNA from 1 species
CAAGUCGAACGAUGAAGCCAGCUUGCUGGUGGAUUAGUGGCGAACGGGUGAGUAACACGUGGGUGAUCUGCCCCAAACUUUGGGAUAAGCCUGGGAAACUGGGUCUAAUACCGAAUAUUACCUUCUCCUGCAUGGGGGUUGGUGGAAAGCUCCGGCGGUUUGGGAUGGGCCCGCGGCCUAUCAGCUUGUUGGUGGGGUAAUGGCCUACCAAGGCGACGACGGGUAGCCGGCCUGAGAGGGCGACCGGCCACACUGGGACUGAGACACGGCCCAGACUCCUACGGGAGGCAGCAGUGGGGAAUAUUGCACAAUGGGCGCAAGCCUGAUGCAGCGACGCCGCGUGAGGGAUGACGGCCUUCGGGUUGUAAACCUCUUUCACCAGGGACGAAGCGAAAGUGACGGUACCUGGAGAAGAAGCACCG